rnacentral:rRNA from 1 species
GCGUCCUAUUAGCUUGUUGGUGAGGUAACGGCUCACCAAGGCAGCGAUGGGUAGCCGGCCUUAGCGGGUGGACGGCCACACUGGAACUGAGACACGGUCCAGACUCCUACGGGAGGCUGCAGUGCUGAAUUAUUCGCCAAUGCGCGAAAGCGUGACGGUGCGACGCCGCGUGCGGGACGAAGGCCUUAGGGUCGUAAACCGCUGUCAGGGCUUCGGAAACCGUAGAGGUUAAUAGCCUCUGCGCUGACCAGGCCCAAAGGAAGCACAGGCUAAUCUCGUGCCAGCAGCCGCGGUAAUACGAGAUGUGCGAGCGUUGUUCGGAAUUACUGGGCAUAAAGGGUGCGCAGGCGGCCAUGUAAGUCAGGUGUGAAAUCCCUCGGCUCAACCGGGGAAUUGCAUCUGAUACUGCAUGGCUUGAGAACGAAAGGGGCAAGCGGAAUUCCAGGUGUAGCGGUGGAAUGCGUAGAUAUCUGGGAGAACGCCAAUGGCGAAGGCAGCUUGCUGGGUCGUUUCUGACGCUCAUGCACGAAAGCUAGGGGAGCAAACAGGAUUAGAUACCCUGGUAGUCCUAGCUGUAAACGAUGGGUACUAGGUUCCGGGAUUCCUGAUGAUUUCGGAGCCGCAGUUAAUGCGUUAAGUACCCCGCCUGGGGAGUAUGGUCGCAAGGCUAAAACUCAAAGGAAUUGACGGAGGAGCGCACAACCGGUGGAGCAUGUGGUUUAAUUCGAUACAAAGCGAAAAACCUUACCUGGGUUUGACAUAUACCUGCACGUUCUAUGAAAAUAGAAUUUCUUCGAGAGUGGUAUACAGGUGAUGCAUGGCUGUCGUCGGCUCGUGUCGUGAGACGUCCGCUUAAGUGCGGUAACGAGCGCAACCCUUGUCGUCAGUUAUACGUAUCUGACGAGACUGCCCUGCUGCUAGCAGGGAGGAACGAGAGGACGACGUCAAGUCAGCAUGUCCCUUACAUCCAGGGCUACACACAUCCUACAAUGGGACUGACAACGGGUAGCGACAGGGCAACCUUGAGCUAAUCCUUAUAAACUGUCCCUCAGUUCAGAUUGCGGGCUGCAAUUCGCCCGCAUGAAGUCGGAAUCGGUAGUAAUCGCAAAUCAGCAGGUUGCGGCGCAACGUUCUCGCUCCUUGUACACACUGCCCGUCAAGCCAGCAAAGUCGGCAGCA